UACGAAGGGGGCUAGCGUUGCUCGGAUUGACUGGGCGUAAAGGGCGCGUAGGCGGUUCGUACAGUCAGACGUGAAAUUCCUGGGCUCAACCUGGGGGCUGCGUUUGAUACGUGCGGACUUGAGUGCGGAAGAGGGUCGUGGAAUUCCCAGUGUAGAGGUGAAAUUCGUAGAUAUUGGGAAGAACACCGGUGGCGAAGGCGGCGACCUGGUCCGAUACUGACGCUGAGGAGCGAAAGCGUGGGGAGGCGAACAGG
rnacentral:rRNA from 1 species